GGCAAAUGAUGUUUCUUUCUCACGAUGGUCUGCGGAUGCCACAGGGCAGUGGCGAUAAUGCCAUAGGCUCAGCUGAUGCCAGAAG
ensembl:snoRNA Snord35a small nucleolar RNA, C/D box 35A